rnacentral:rRNA from 1 species
CCUACGGGUGGCAGCAGUGAGGAAUAUUGGUCAAUGGACGAGAGUCUGAACCAGCCAAGUAGCGUGAAGGAUGACUGCCCUAUGGGUUGUAAACUUCUUUUAUAUGGGAAUAAAAUGUUCCACGUGUGGGAUUUUGUAUGUACCAUAUGAAUAAGGAUCGGCUAACUCCGUGCCAGCAGCCGCGGUAAUACGGAGGAUCCGAGCGUUAUCCGGAUUUAUUGGGUUUAAAGGGAGCGUAGGUGGAUUGUUAAGUCAGUUGUGAAAGUUUGCGGCUCAACCGUAGAAUUGCAGUUGAGACUGGCAGUCUUGAGUACAGUAGAGGUGGGCGGAAUUCGUGGUGUAGCGGUGAAAUGCUUAGAUAUCACGAAGAACUCCGAUUGCGAAGGCAGUUCACUGGACUGCAACUGACACUGAGGCUCGAAAGUGUGGGUAUCAAACAGGAUUAGAUACCCGGGUAGUC